GACUGGCCUAGAGGUAGUGAGUUAUGUCAACUGAUAGUUCACAUCAGUUAUAGAUCAAACUCCUUGUUCUACUCUUCCCCCAUCUCACUAGUCUAGUGAUAUUUGACUAGUCUUUA
rnacentral:Y_RNA from 1 species